rnacentral:tRNA from 1 species
AAAACCAUAGUCUAUUUAUGAUAUAUGAGUUGCAUUCAUAAGAUGUUUUAUGAACUGGUUUUU